rnacentral:rRNA from 1 species
AUUGAACGCUAGCGGGAUGCCUUACACAUGCACGUCGUACGGAGUGGCGAACGGGUGAGUACUGUAUCGGAACGUGCCCAGUAGCGGGGGAUAACUACGCGAAAGCGUAGCUAAUACCGCAUACUAUUGGAGCGGCCGAUAUCGGCUUAGCUAGUUGGUGGGGUAACGGCUCAACAAGGCGACGAUCCGUAGCUGGUUUGAGAGGACGACCAGCCACACUGGGAGUGAGAAACGGCACAGACUACUAGGGGAGGCAGCAGGGGGGAAUGUGUGACAAUGGGGGAAACCCUGAUCCAGCCAUCCCGGGUGUGCGAUGAAGGCCUUGGGGUUGUAAAGCACUUUUGGCAGGAAAGCGGUACCUGCAGAAGAAGCACCGGCUAACUACGUGCCAGCAGCCGCGGUAAUA